rnacentral:lncRNA from 1 species
UUUCUUUGCAGAGUGGGCAAUGUGGAUUAUGGUCAAGGCAACGCUCAAGGCAUUUGAGGCAAAAGGUGUGUCCACAGGGAGUGGUAACAGGUUCAUAGAACAACCUCAUGCAGAGGGAACACUCGAAGUCAGACGCAUCAACAAGAGUUGUUGGUAUCUCACUUGAAGUGACGACAGCGUUUUCAGGUAAAACAUCUGCAUCUUUCUUAGGGAUCUUACUGGGGACGUCCAAGCUUUGUAUAUCCCUCAUAUCACUGGAUAGCUUUCUUUUUAAGCCAGCCCCAGGUAAACUGGAGAGAAUAGCUCCCAAAGACUUCUUGCUGUCUUCAAAAUAGCGAUCCAGUACAUUAUGGGAAGCGGGAGAAUCAGUGCUUCUGAAUACAUCAGGUUCUUGGGACGGGUUUUUUGUUAACCUGAACACAGUAUCCUUUGAGGACCCAGCGAUAGAACUAUCUUCAGCAGCUGACUGUGUGUUUAUGCUACUUAAAAAUGCAGGUUUCAAUCUUGUAUGGGAUGUUCGACUAGAGAAAGGUGCUGUUAGACUAUCAUGAACAUUUUCAAAGGCUGGGAAAAACAUCUCACACAUUAUCUUCUGGGCUUCUUUCUUCAUUGAGCUCCAUUCAGGAUUUAAGGCAACACAAUAGAGAAACUCCUUCAAUGCUUCCUCAGUCC